AUUGAACGCUGGCGGCAUGCUUUACACAUGCAAGUCGAACGGUAACAGGCCGCAAGGUGCUGACGAGUGGCGAACGGGUGAGUAAUGCAUCGGAACGUGCCCAGUCGUGGGGGAUAACGCAGCGAAAGCUGCGCUAAUACAGCAUACGAUCUCUGGAUGAAAGCGAGGGACCGAAAGGCCUCGCGCGAUUGGAGCGGCCGGUGUCAGAUUAGGUAGUUGGUGGGGUAAAGGCUCACCAAGCCAACGAUCGGUGGCCGGUCUGAGAGGACGACCAGCCACACUGGGACUGAGACACGGCCCAGACUCCUACGGGAGGCAGGAGUGGGGAAUUUUGGACAAUGGGCGAAAGCCUGAUCCAGCAAUGCCGCGUGCAGGAAGAAGGCCUUCGGGUUGUAAACUGCUGUUGUACGGAACGAAACGGUCCUGAUUAAUACCUGGGGCUAAUGACGGUACCGUAAGAAUAAGCACCGGCUAACUACGUGCCAGCCGCCGCCGUAACAC
rnacentral:rRNA from 1 species